rnacentral:snoRNA from 1 species
UGCCUUUAUGUGUUGCCCUUUCUCUAAACCUGUAGUGAUUGGGGUGUCAAAAAAGGCAGAAAGUGACUUUUGCGGUUGUUUAUGAACGAGAUUUCACUUGAUUCGUUUACACAAACAGCUGCAUGGACACCAGUA